CCUACGGGUGGCAGCAGUGAGGAAUAUUGGUCAAUGGGCGCGAGCCUGAACCAGCCAAGUCGCGUGAGGGAGGACGGCCCUACGGGUUGUAAACCUCUUUUGCCGGGGAGCAACGGGCGCCACGUGUGGCGUCACUGAGAGUACCCGGAGAAAAAGCAUCGGCUAACUCCGUGCCAGCAGCCGCGGUAAUACGGAGGAUGCGAGCGUUAUCCGGAUUUACUGGGUGUAAAGGGCGUGUAGGCGGGAAAGCAAGUCAGAUGUGAAAACCAUGGGCUCAACCUGUGGCCUGCAUUUGAAACUGUUUUUCUUGAGUACUGGAGAGGCAGACGGAAUUCCUAGUGUAGCGGUGAAAUGCGUAGAUAUUAGGAGGAACACCAGUGGCGAAGGCGGUCUGCUGGACAGCAACUGACGCUGAGGCUCGAAAGUGUGGGUAUCAAACAGGAUUAGAUACCCCAGUAGUC
rnacentral:rRNA from 1 species